CACGGGGGGAGCAAGCGUUGUUCGGAAUCACUGGGCGUAAAGGGCGUGUAGGCGGUCAAGUAAGUGGGAUGUGAAAAUCCCUCGGCUCACCCGAGGACCUGCAUCCCCAAACUGCUUGACUUGAGGACGCGAGAGGGACACGGAAUUCCGGGUGGAGUGGUGAAAUGCGUAGAGAUCCGGAGGAACACCGAAGGCGAAGGCAGUGUCCUGGCGCGUAACUGACGCUGAGGUGCGAAAGCCAGGGGAGCGAACGGG
rnacentral:rRNA from 1 species